AUCUACGGCCAUGCUACCCUGAACAAGCCCGAUCCCAGCCAAUCUUGGAAGCUAAGCAGGGUCGGACCUGGUUAGUACUUGGAUGGGAGACCACCUAGGAAGACCAGAUGCUGUAGGCA
rnacentral:rRNA from 1 species